GCUGGGCGUGGUGGCUCACGCCUGUAAUCCCAGCACUUUGGGAGGCCGAGGUGGGUGGAUCACCUGAGGUCAGGAGUUCAAGACCAGCCUGGCCAACAUGGUGAAACCCCAUCUCUA
rnacentral:SRP_RNA from 1 species